UUGAUCGUUUAAGAGAUUGUGGAUUGAAGUUAUCACCCAAAAAGUGCCACCUUUUCCAACAGAAGGUAAGAUAUGUAGGAUAUAUUGUGUCAAAGGAUGGUAUAGAGGCUGACCCGGAGAAAGUACAGAAGAUUAAGGAAUGGUCUAGACCGAGUAAUCCAGAGGAAGUACGCUCAUUUUUAGGAUUUGCCGGAUACCACCGGAAAUUCAUAAAAGACUUUUCGGCAAUUUCCAAACCAUUAUCAGAGUUGAUGCCUAAACCUUCCAAGUUCAAGAAGAAAAUUGGAACUUCAAGUGCUACAUGGAAAUGGGGUGAGGAACAGGAAAGGGCAUUCACGGAGCUGAGGGAAAAGUUAUCAAGUCCACCCAUUCUAGCCUAUGCCGAUUAUGCAGUGCUCCCCGUUUUUCCUUAUGUUUGGCCGAGAACCUAGACUGCCCAUUGACUUAGCCUUUGGCUUGGAGAGAGGUAACAGUCAUGAGUCUUUACCAGUUUAUAUUAAAGAAUUGAGAGAUAGAAUGAAGGAAUCUUUUCGGAUAGCCUCAGAAGCAGCUAAAAACGCCCAGCAUCGUCAAAAGGUCAACUAUGAUAAGAAAGUGCGCGGAGCAACAGUACAGCCAGGAGAUAGAGUACUGGUGAAAAUACUUGCAUUCGAAGGAAAGCACAAGUUAUCAGACCGCUGGGAAGAAGAUGUAUAUAUAGUGACUAGACAUCCAAACGAAGGAAUUCCGGUUUUUGAAGUACAGAAGGAAAACAAAUCUGGUCGUAAACGGAUCCUACACAGGAACCAUUUGAUGCCCAUAGGAAGUAUAACUGGGAAGAGGCUGGAUAAAGUAGAUGGGACACCUGUUAAAGAUAGACCUGUUCCGGCGCCAAAGCGUAAGAAAAUUACGGAAAGGAGCCUAGAAACAAGUCGCCAAGAAGAUGAGUCCGAGGAAGAAUCUGAGGACGAAUCUGAUUAUCAGGUGACACAUGUCGUUCAUCGGGAUGAGGUAGAAGAUGAUGCAUCAUCUGCAUCAUUCGGGGACCUAGCCUCGGAGGAGGAUUCAAGAGAGUCCAAGACACCGGUAGACUCCAUCGUUGUAGAGGAUGAGCCCACUGAAGAUUUGGACGAUGAUGGUACCACGAAUCCAGAAUCAGAUGACGAUCAUGUAGAGCAGGUUACUGUACCAGAGGAGCCACGUCGUUCAGGGAGGAGAAGGCAGCAACCCGCCUGGAUGUCCUCGGAUACAUACGUGAUGGCAACUCAGGGUGUACCAGAAUGGAUGCAGAAUAUAAAGGUAUUUCAGACAUUGAGUUCAGAUGGAACUUUUAGCAACAGUGAGCCGGUGUAGAUAAGGCUAUUAUUCAUAUUUUAACGUCAAAGUGACGAGGACGUCAUUUUCCGACGGGGGGAAGUAUGUAGUAGACUGUAUUUUGAAUUUUAUUUAUUUCGUUUAUUAUGUAAUGCACACAUGGUUUUAUAUAUCAUAUAUAUAUAUGUAUAUAUAUAUAUAUAUAUAUUAGCUAUGUGUAUAGACACCUGUAACACCUGUAUGUACCCUGAGGCAAAACCCGGACCAGGUGAGUAUAUGUUCUUGUACAUUGUAAAUGUCGUUGUGCUGUGCCGGUUCUGUCCAGUUCUGUCCAGUGUUGGUCAUGUGCACCUGUCUAAAACCUGUUUGUCCUUAUUGUCUAUUUAUAAAGUUAAUUCUGUUGGAUAGUUUGUAGGUGUGUCUGUAUGUUGUAAUUUUAUUGGUCCUGGGGUGAUAAGUGUAGGGAUAAUAUUCUGGGUAUUUGCCGCCAAAAAAUCAGUACAAGAGAAAGCCUUCAAGGGAACAGGUGUUUGUUUGCCUGCUGUUCAUAGCAUAUUUGAGAAGCCAUUUGUUAAAGAAAAGAGAUUUAUACUGAAUAGGAUAAGAGAACCUGUGUUUGUGAUAGCCUCCAUUCCAUAGAUGGGGUAUGUGUGUUCAUGUUAAACU
rnacentral:misc_RNA from 1 species